UUGACGGUCUUUAAUAGUAUCUCGUCGGUAUUCAGAGUCAUGACUUUGACAUUACUGACAUAUGUGAAGAUCAAGGACAGUGUUCCCCUUAUAUUUAUUCUGCAUAAAAACGAAAUAUAAACGUUUUACUGUCUGAAGGGAGACAAAUAACGAUAAAAUCAAUUUCCUUAUUUCAUCAACUCGCGAGUAGCCUAAAUGCCGAUCGGCGCAGAAGUUGGCGACGUAAAGGGCAGGAACAAAGUUGAAAAUCGGCCGAAAUAUGCAAAUACACCGGAAUUACAUAGCACUAGGGCACGUUUACGUACUGUACAACAAGCUGUCACUCCGACUAAACUUUUACC